rnacentral:rRNA from 1 species
ACGGGAGGCAGCAGCUAAGAAUAUUCCGCAAUGGGGGAAACCCUGACGGAGCGACGCCGCGUGGAUGAUGAAGGCCGGAAGGUUGUAAAAUCCUUUUAUGACUGAGGAAUAAGUAUUCUGAGAGAAACGGAGUACGGUGACUGUAGGUCAUGAAUAAGCAACGGCUAAUUACGUGCCAGCAGCCGCGGUAACACGUAAGUUGCGAGCGUUGUUCGGAAUUAUUGGGCGUAAAGGGCAUGUAGGCGGUUUUGCAAGCUUGGUGUGAAAGGCAGGAGCUUAACUCCUGGACUGCGUUGAGAACUGCAUAACUAGAGUCACUGAGGGGCAAUCAGAAUUCCAGGUGUAGGGGUGAAAUCUGUAGAUAUCUGGAAGAAUACCAAUGGCGAAGGCAGGUUACCAGCAGAUGACUGACGCUGAGGUGCGAAGGUGCGGGGAGCAAACAGGAUUAGAUACCCUGGUA